UGUAGUUCAGUGGUAGAGCUUUUGCCUAGUAUGCAUAAGGCCCUGAGUUCAAUCCCUAGCA
rnacentral:tRNA from 1 species